GACGAACCGUGCGAACGUUGUUCGGAUUCACUGGGCUUAAAGGGCGCGUAGGCGGUCGACCAAGUCUGGGGUGAAAUCUUUCGGCUCAACCGGAAAAGUGCCCCCGAUACUGGCCGGCUAGAGGGAGAUAGGGGCAUGCGGAACUUCCGGUGGAGCGGUGAAAUGCGUAGAUAUCGGAAGGAACGCCGGUGGCGAUAGCAGUCUGCUGGACCUCUUCUGACGCUGAUGCGCGAAAGCCGGGUGAGCAAACGGG
rnacentral:rRNA from 1 species